rnacentral:rRNA from 1 species
AAUAAGCGGAGGAAAAGAAACCAACAGGGAUUGCCCCAGUAACGGCGAGUGAAGCGGCAACAGCUCAAAUUUGAAAUCUGGCGCAAGCCCGAGUUGUAAUUUGUAGAGGAUGCUUCUAGGUAGCGACCGGUCUAAGUUCCUUGGAACAGGACGUCAUAGAGGGUGAGAAUCCCGUAUGUGACCGGCCCGCACCUUCUACGUAGCUCCUUCGACGAGUCGAGUUGUUUGGGAAUGCAGCUCUAAAUGGGAGGUAAAUUUCUUCUAAAGCUAAAUACCGGCCAGAGACCGAUAGCGCACAAGUAGAGUGAUCGAAAGAUGAAAAGCACUUUGGAAAGAGAGUUAAAAAGCACGUGAAAUUGUUGAAAGGGAAGCGCUUACAACCAGACUUCUGGGCGGUGUUCCGCCGGUCUUUUGACCGGUCUACUCGCCGUCCCGAGGCCAACAUCAUCUGGGACCGCUGGAUAAGACCUCAGGAAUGUAGCUUCCCUCGGGAAGUGUUAUAGCCUGUGGUGAUGCAGCGCGUCUCGGGUGAGGUCCGCGCUUCGGCAAGGAUGUUGGCGUAAUGGUUGUCAGCGGCCCGUCUUGAAACACGGACCAAGGAGUCUAACAUCUAUGCGAGUGUUCGGGUGUCAAACCCCUACGCGUAAUGAAAGUGAACGGAGGUGGGAAGCGUAAGCUGCACCAUCGACCGAUCCUGAUGUCCUCGGAUGGAUUUGAGUAAGAGCAUAGCUGUUGGGACCCGAAAGAUGGUGAACUAUGCCUGAAUAGGGUGAAGCCAGAGGAAACUCUGGUGGAGGCUCGCAGCGGUUCUGACGUGCAAAUCGAUCGUCAAAUUUGGGUAUAGGGGCGAAAG